UUUACAAUGGACGAAAGUCUGAUAGUGCUAGACAAGAAAGAAGGUUGUAUAGAUUUACGAAUCUAUACAUGUAUGAAUUCUAAAAAGGAGAUCUUAUAAUGAAAGACUUCUAUAUAAAAGGGCAGCCCAAUUUACGUGCCAGAAGGCUCGGUUAUGCGUAAUGCUCAAGUGUUCUGCUAUUACUUAAGGCGUAAAGGGUGUCUAGCCGGUUUUUGAUGCUUCAACACUAAAUCCUAAUUUUAAAAGUUAGUGAGGUUGAAAAACAAUAAAACUAGAGUUUCAUAGAGGGUUGUCGAAUUGUUAAUGUAGAGAUAAAAUUCAUAGAUAUUAAUAGGAAGACCAAAGGCGAAGGCAGCAACCUGGGUAGAAACUGACGGUGAAGCACGAAAGCUUGGGUAGUGAAGCGGAUUUGAUACCCGCGUAAUCCAAGCCGUCAACGAUGCAUACUGAGUGGAAGAGAUUUUUCUGCUUCAGGUAACCCGUUAAGUAUGCCGCCUGAAAACUACGACCGCAAGGUUAAAACUCAAAUUAAUAGACCGUUCUGAGGAUCGACGGAGGAGCAUGUGGUUUAAUGCGACGAUCCGCGCGUAACCUUACCUUUCCUAGUUUUCCAAUUAUUUGGAAAUCAGAUGUUGCAUGGUUGUCUUCAGUUCGUGUUUUGAAAUGUAAGAUUAAUUUCGUUAACGAACGAAACCCCUACACUAUAUUUAUAAUUUUAGUGGACCGCGGUUGUAAAAUCGAGGAAGGAGGGGAUUAAGUCAAAUCCUUAUGGCUUUUAUGGAAAGGGCUACACAUGUGCUAUAAUGCCUAGUACAAAGGUUUAUAAGUCAGCAAUGACAAGUCAAUACUUAAAAUUAGGCUAAGUUCGGAUUAAAGACUGAAAUCUGUCUUUAUGAAGCUAGAUUCGUUAGUAAUCGAAAAGUAGAGCGUUUCGGUGAAUUUCUUAACUCAGUUGGUACUAACCGCCCGUCAAUGUCGAAAACUUUUGAGGCUCCCAAGACUAAACCUUUUAAGGUACUAAGUUUAGAAAUAGCUCAGCUAUA
rnacentral:rRNA from 1 species